rnacentral:rRNA from 1 species
CCUACGGUGGGCAGCAGUGGGGAAUAUUGGGCAAUGGGCGCAAGCCUGACCCAGCAACGCCGCGUGAAGGAAGAAGGCCUUCGGGUUGUAAACUUCUUUUGACAGGGAAGAGUAGAAGACGGUACCUGUCGAAUAAGACACGGCUAACUACGUGCCAACAGCCGCGGGAAUACGUCGGUGGCAAGCGUUGUCCGGAUGUACGGGGUGUAAAGGGCGUGUAGCCGGGUUGACAAGUCAGAUGUGAAAUCCUGCGGCUUAACCGCUGAACUGCAUGUGAAACUGUUGAUCUUGAGUACUGGAGAGGCAGACGGAAUGCGUGGUGUAGCGGUGAAAUGCGUAGAUAUUAGGAGGAACACCAGUGGCGAAGGCGGUCUGCGGGACAGCAACUGACGGUGAGGCGCGAAAGCGUGGGGAGCAAACAGGAUUAGAUACCCGGGUAGUC